UAUGUGGGUGCAGUUUAAACAUGCUUGGGACAUAGACGUGAUGGGCUUGAGGGUUUUAAAAGAAAAGAGAGAAAGAGAGGGGUGGCUAGGGUUUGUAAAGAAGGAAAGGUUUGAGGCACCAAAGCCUAAAGAGGAAAGAUAGGAGGUGUGAGAGAAACUAAGAUUUGGGGUAUCUAGGGUUUGAGGAUAUCUUGAAGGCUAUAAAAAGGGAUGUGGGGCGGCCCA
rnacentral:lncRNA from 1 species